UUUUGAUUGACGUAAUCAUCCCAUUAAAAUGUUUAUGGUACACUGUUAUGCAAAUUAAUGCACUCAAGACUUUUGAAAAUUGAGAGCUUUAUGGUACACUGCUGCAUUAUUUUACAGACAUUUUUCAGAUGGAUACCAAUCAAAUGAAGACUUAUCAAUAGCAGCUUGUGGUGUAUCCUAAGUCUCAAAACAAUAAUAUAACUAAAUUGCUGCCAAUCUAUAGUCUAAUGUGAACUGGCACUAUUGACAUUCAGCAACACCCAGUUGUUUCGU
rnacentral:misc_RNA from 1 species